UAAACUAUUAAGAGGCUUAUUGGAAAGGAUGAAAGCAAGGUAUGGUUGGAUGAAGGCAAGGGAUGAAGACCUUCAUCCCUAUUGGUCGAAUGUCAUAUCCAAUGGGCUUCAAAGAGGCUACCCGAGGCCUAAUUAGGGAUUAGGAUUUCACUUUCAGGGGCAUUUGAGCUUUGGAGGCUAGGAUCAGUAAGUUCAGGGUUUUGGGUAUAAUUUGGAUGAAGACUUUUUGUGAUUUCGAAUUGUUGUGAAGGAGAUAUAGGUGUUCAAAGUUAAGGUGCCAAAUUUGUAUCUAUUGUCACUCU
rnacentral:lncRNA from 1 species